CCUUCAUUGUAUGCAUUUUUUGCUGGGGAUUGCUGUUAGCAACGGAUCACAUGGGCAGGAUUUGCUCCCCCGGGUAGAAAUGCGCGACAGCAUUUAGGGUCUUGAGCAUCUUUUGCCUUUUAGACCACUUUAUUCUUCGUUUGUUCACAU